UGGUUGGAUGAGAUAAUCCUUACCUGUUCCUUUUUAGGGGGCUGACAGAACAUGAUUGAAGUUCCCAUGAUAUAUGAUUAUGUGUAUGAGUGUAUUGCCUGCAUAUAUGUAAG
rnacentral:snoRNA from 1 species